rnacentral:rRNA from 1 species
AUUGAACGCUGGCGGCAGGCCUAACACAUGCAAGUCGAGCGGAUGAAGGGAGCUUGCUCCUGGAUUCAGCGGCGGACGGGUGAGUAAUGCCUAGGAAUCUGCCUGGUAGUGGGGGAUAACGUCCGGAAACGGGCGCUAAUACCGCAUACGUCCUGAGGGAGAAAGUGGGUGAUCUUCGGACCUCACGCUAUCAGAUGAGCCUAGGUCGGAUUAGCUAGUUGGUGGGGUAAAGGCCUACCAAGGCGACGAUCCGUAACUGGUCUGAGAGGAUGAUCAGUCACACUGGAACUGAGACACGGUCAAGACUCCUACGGGAGACAGCAGUGGGGAAUAUUGGACAAUGGGCGAAAGCCUGAUCCAGCCAUGCCGCGUGUGUGAAGAAGGUCUUCGGAUUGUAAAGCACUUUAAGUUGGGAGGAAGGGCAGUAAGUUAAUACCUUGCUGUUUUGACGUUACCAACAGAAUAAGCACCGGCUAACUUCGUG